CUCCAGAUGUUUUGGGACUACAACUCCCAUCAUCCCUGACCACUGGUCCUGUUAGCUAGGGAUGGUGGGAGUUGUAGUCCCAAAACAUCUGGAA